rnacentral:rRNA from 1 species
UACGAAGGUGGCAAGCGUUGUUCGGAUUUACUGGGCGUACAGGGAGCGUAGGCGGUUGGAUAAGCCCUCCGUGAAAUCUCCAGGCUUAACCUGGAAAGUGCAGAGGGGACUGUUCAGCUAGAGGAUGGGAGAGGAGCGCGGAAUUCCCGGUGUAGCGGUGAAAUGCGUAGAGAUCGGGAGGAAGGCCGGUGGCGAAGGCGGCGCUCUGGAACGCAACUGGACGCUGAGACGCGAAAGCAUGGGGAGCGAACAGG